rnacentral:rRNA from 1 species
AGUCGAGCGGUAGAGAGAAGCUUGCUUCUCUUGAGAGCGGCGGACGGGUGAGUAAUGCCUAGGAAUCUGCCUGGUAGUGGGGGAUAACGUUCGGAAACGGACGCUAAUAUCGCAUACGUCCUACGGGAGAAAGCAGGGGACCUUCGGGCCUUGCGCUAUCAGAUGAGCCUAGGUCGGAUUAGCUAGUUGGUGGGGUAAUGGCUCACCAAGGCGACGAUCCGUAACUGGUCUGAGAGGAUGAUCAGUCACACUGGAACUGAGACACGGUCCAGACUCCUACGGGAGGCAGCAGUGGGGAAUAUUGGACAAUGGGCGAAAGCCUGAUCCAGCCAUGCCGCGUGUGUGAAGAAGGUCUUCGGAUUGUAAAGCACUUUAAGUUGGGAGGAAGGGCAGUAAAUUAAUACUUUGCUGUUUUGACGUUACCGACAGAAUAAGCACCGGCUAACUCUGUGCCAGCAGCCGCGGUAAUACAGAGGGUGCAAGCGUUAAUCGGAAUUACUGGGCGUAAAGCGCGCGUAGGUGGUUCGUUAAGUUGGAUGUGAAAUCCCCGGGCUCAACCUGGGAACUGCAUUCAAAACUGACGAGCUAGAGUAUGGUAGAGGGUGGUGGAAUUUCCUGUGUAGCGGUGAAAUGCGUAGAUAUAGGAAGGAACACCAGUGGCGAAGGCGACCACCUGGACUGAUACUGACACUGAGGUGCGAAAGCGUGGGGAGCAAACAGGAUUAGAUACCCUGGUAGUCCACGCCGUAAACGAUGUCAACUAGCCGUUGGGAGCCUUGAGCUCUUAGUGGCGCAGCUAACGCAUUAAGUUGACCGCCUGGGGAGUACGGCCGCAAGGUUAAAACUCAAAUGAAUUGACGGGGCCGCACAGCGGUGGAGCAUGUGGUUUAAUUCGAGCACGCGAGAUCUUACAGGCCUGACAUCUAUGACUUUUCUAGAGAUAGAUGUGCUCGGGACAUGAAACAGUGCUGCAU